rnacentral:rRNA from 1 species
UGCCAGCCGCCGCGGUAAUACGGAGGGUGCAAGCGUUGUCCGGAUUUAUUGGGUUUAAAGGGUGCGUAGGUGGUUUUUUAAGUCAGUGGUGAAAUCCUACAGCUUAACUGUAGAUGUGCCAUUGAAACUGGGAAACUUGAGUAUGGACGAGGUAGGCGGAAUUUGUGGUGUAGCGGUGAAAUGCAUAGAUACCACAAAGAACACCGAUAGCGAAGGCAGCUUACUAGGCCAUAACUGACACUGAGGCACGAAAGCGUGGGGAGCGAACAGGAUUAGAUA